GACGAACGCUGGCGGCGUGCUUAACACAUGCAAGUCGAACGGACAGGCCCUGCUCUUGCGGGGUGCUCGAGUGGCGAACGGGUGAGUAACACGUGAGUAACCUGCCCCUGUCAUUGGGAUAACUCCAGGGAACUGGGGCUCAUAUCGGAUAGGAGAUCCUGCUGCAUGGUGGGGGAUGGAAAGUUUCGGCGGUUGGGGCUGGUAUAGCGGCUUAUCCGCUUGAUGGUGAGGUAGUGGCUUACCAAGGCUUUGACGGCUAGCCGGCGUUGGCGGGUGGCCGGCGACAAUGGGACUGAGGGACGGCGCAGUCGGCUACGUGCGGCAGCAGGGGGGAAUCUUGCGGAGUGGGCGGGAGCCAGUUGCGGCGACGCCGCGUGCGGGAUGACGGCUUUCUGGUUGUGAACCGCUUUGUCCUUUGACGAAGCGUGAGUGACGGUAAUGAGUAAGAAAGCACCGGCUAACUACGUG
rnacentral:rRNA from 1 species